UGGAAGUGGGACACUCGUUAUUGAAUUGUUUUUAGUAGUAUGUGUGUAUUUAUCAGCCUUUUGGUUAAGAUCCAACUGUAAUGUGUACUUAUCUAUCUAUGAAGAAGUUAAGUUGAUGUUCUACUUACAAAUUUCCUGAAGUUUAUUGGAAUGUGGAAGGAACUGAAUUUCGUUGUCAUCACAAUAUGUUUUAGUCUUGUGGUCAUCAGUGGUAUCCCUUUUUAAAAAUUUGUGUUUGAAUAAGCAUGGCAAUAUUACUCAGAGGACCAUUAAUCUCAACUUCUAGACUUGUCUUUGUUAGAGCAACUAUUUCAGCUUUCUGCCCAGUUCCUCUUAGUUCAGCUUCAGUGUCUUGCAGUUUGUGCAUGUUGAUG
rnacentral:lncRNA from 1 species